AAGUCGUAACAAGGUUUCCGUAGGUGAACCUGCGGAAGGAUCAUUAUUGAAAGUCUGGGCUUCGGCCCUCUCUCUUCUACACACUUGUGAACUUACAUCAUUGCUUUGGCAGGUUUCCGGAGAUGGACAUUAAAUUCAUCAAAGGUUAGGUUGUGGAGCUCAAAACUCUUCACGCCUGCCAAAGGACAUUUAUCCACUCUUUAUUAAUUGUCUGAUAAUUUGUCUUAUGACGAACCAUAUAAAACUUUCAACAAUGGAUCUCUUGGCUCUG
rnacentral:misc_RNA from 1 species